GAUACAAUGGUGUCGUUCGGGAAACGCAGCCCUAACGUUGGUCCUAAGCUGACAAAUUGGUCUGUGGACGCCAAACUUCCGUGCUAGGACUUUCUGCGUGUGGACCGGGGGCCUAGUCCUGCGUGGGUCCAACACAGACAGGAGAAAGCUGCCUGCUUUUGUGCCUCCCGGAGGUCCUGGUAGAAGCGAAACGGGGACAGGAGCUGCAGCGUCCCAAGCCCAGUGAGGCGAAGCUACUGGAGACAGCUCUGCCGGGUCCAAAGUUGGGCUCACCGGCUGGAACUUGAAACCGGAGCACGCCGGACUCCUGCUGAAGCCAUCAUCUCUCUCUCCUGGCCCCGGGCGCCUUGGCCGGCGGGCACAACUGGUUUCGGGGCCAAGGUGGUCUGGAAGCCUGACUGUGGCGUCUGGCCUGGGCUCCCGCGAGCGGAAAAGGUUCCCCUCCUGUGAGAGGGAAACUAUGGAAGUUCCUACGCCCGGAGCCAGAACUCCUGCUGCUCCCGCCCGACCCAAGGUCUAGCUUGGCGGCCUCCCACCUGUGCUUCUGAGGGUUCUGCUUCCAAGAGGCUGCUGGUGCCCGGGACACCAGCAGUUUCGCCAUGGGUGUUUCGCCAUGGGAGUUUCGCCAUGGGUGACUUUGGCCUGAGAUGCGCUCCAUGGAGCAGAUUCUGGAGUUGCUGGUGUUGGAGGAGUUCCUGACUAUCCUGUCCCAGGACAUCCACAGCAGGGUGCAGAAGCUGCAACGGGCGAGCUGUGAAGAAGCUGUAACUCUUUUAAAGUAUAUGUAUGACUUUUAAAAGAGAGAGCUUGUGAAACUGAGGGAAUAGGGCUGUGUGUUCCAGAAGGCUGAUACCAUGGAAGACAUCACCUUGGCUUCCUGGCUGUCUGGUUAGUGAUUUGAGCAAUGAGAGGCAGCAGCUAGAAAUGAAAGAGUAGAAGAAGAGAGUGUCUCCUGACACUGUGUGCAUGGUCUCCAGUCAGCCUCUGAUUCCUGUGAGUCAGCUGCAUCCAGAUUCCCACCCCCUUCCCCGUCCCGAGAAGGUUACAUUUGGCCGCCACUAAGAUCUCCUGAGAAAAAUCUCUUCAGAGGAAUUUUGGCCAAAUCUUCUCUCCCUCUCCUACAGCCACUUUCCUCCUGAAUUUCUUCCUUUCCCAGGGCCUGAUUGGUUCAGCACCAAGUGAAGUCAUAGUCACUAUGGUGACUCACAAUUGUCCUCAGAACCUAGUGCCAACAGUCUGCAAGAUUCAAACACUGGCCACCAUGCCUGGCUUCCUUCUGGUUCAAGCCUGAAUAAGGUCCCUCUUCUGUGCUGUCUUCCUGAAGCCAUCUGUGGAGUCAAGCAGUCAUGGCUCAGGGACACUCUGAAGUAGGUCCCAGCACAUCUGCAUGGAGCAUCAGGAGGAAGGUGGAUGAAUACUUAAGACCCAGCCUGGCCUCUAAAUCGGUGCUGAGCGUUUUACUCAGUAGACAGCUUGGGAAUCAUAGAAACGAUGCGGAUCUGACAGAGUGGCUGUGGACACUGAAGCAAGCCAUACCAGGGUGGACCUGGCCUUUGCCGACACGCCACACAAUCAACCCACCUCUGCCCCCUGGGGAGGAUGGAAAAUCCAAGAAAAUGGUGUGGAUCAAUAAAUCCUUCCCCUGAUGCAACCAUUACAAGUGGAAGCUGUGUUCUCA
rnacentral:lncRNA from 1 species